rnacentral:lncRNA from 1 species
CUAAAUGUACUUUACACUUAUACUUACAGGUCUCGGGACGACAAAUCCUGAAAAGAGAUUCCAGAUUGCAUAAAAGGCAGCAGCCACAAUAGAAGCAACAUGGUGAUUUGGUGUCACAGCCACUGCCAUCAUACCAUAGAAAGUGAAGUAGAGCAAUGUGAAGUACAUGAAGAAUAGAUACCACAAGAAUUUCUCUGCGGUCCAGUCAAAUCCGAUCAUGGCAUAGACUAUAACUCCGUAUGUCACGGCUUGAGCAAAGACAUAAGGUAGCUCUACCAAAAUCUGACAAAAAGGAAGGAGUUUAAUAUUACAAUUUCUUGUUUGCAAACAAACUUAAGCGAUAGUAAUGACAGUAGAGUAAACAAUAAUUACAGUUACCUGUGAAAAUGCAUAGGGUAAGGCAGAGUACAUUCCAGCAGCUUUUUCUCUAUUAAAUACAGUUCUUUCCACUGCAACCACCGGCUGCACAGAAGAAGAAUUUUGCACUCCAAGGAAGAGAACAGCGGUAUACAUUGAACCAACAGCGUUCAAAAGGUCUUGUCU